rnacentral:rRNA from 1 species
CACGUAGGGCGCAAGCGUUGUCCGGAAUCAUUGGGCGUAAAGAGCUCGUAGGCGGUUUGUUGCGUCCGCUGUGAAAUCCCGGGGCUUAACCCCGGGCUUGCAGUGGAUACGGGCAGACUAGAGGUAGGCAGGGGAGAAUGGAAUUCCCGGUGUAGCGGUGAAAUGCGCAGAUAUCGGGAGGAACACCGGUGGCGAAGGCGGUUCUCUGGGCCUUACCUGACGCUGAGGAGCGAAAGCGUGGGGAG